GUGGGGAAUAUUGGGCAAUGGGCGGAAGCCUGACCCAGCGACGCCGCGUGGGGGAAGAAGUCUUUCGGGAUGUAAACCCUUGUUGUACGGGACGAAGGAAGUGACGGUACCGUACGAGGAAGCCCCGGCAAACUACGUGCCAGCAGCCGCGGUAAUACGUAGGGGGCGAGCGUUGUCCGGAAUCACUGGGCGUAAAGCGCACGUAGGCGGGCUGUCAAGUCGGCCGUGAAAGGCACGGGCUCAACCUGUGCAUGUCGGUCGAUACUGGCGGUCUGGAGUAUGGGAGAGGGAACUGGAAUUCCCGGUGUAGCGGUGAAAUGCGUAGAUAUUGGGAAGAACACCGGUGGCGAAGGCGACUUGCUGGCCAGCAACUGACGCUGAGGCGCGAAAGCCAGGGGAGCAAACGGGAUUAGAAACCCUUGUAGUCC
rnacentral:rRNA from 1 species